rnacentral:rRNA from 1 species
UACGUAGGGUGCAAGCGUUGUCCGGAAUUAUUGGGCGUAAAGAGCUCGUAGGCGGUUUGUCGCGUCUGCUGUGAAAACGCGAGGCUCAACCUCAGGCCUGCAGUCGAUACGGGCGGACUUGAGUACUGCAGGGGAGACUGGAAUUCCUGGUGUAGCGGUGAAAUGCGCAGAUAUCAGGAGGAACACCGGUGGCGAAGGCGGGUCUCUGGGCAGUAACUGACGCUGAGGAGCGAAAGCGUGGGGAGCAAACAGG